GGUACCUACCUCUAGUGGGAAUAACUUCGAGACAUCGAGGCUAAUACCGCAUGUGGUCUACGGAUCAAAGCAGUAAUGCGCUAGAGGAGGGGCCUGCGUCUGAUUAGCUUGUUGGUGAGGUAAAAGCUCACCAAGGCGACGAUCAGUAGCUGGAUCGAGAGGUUGACCAGCCACACUGGGACUGAGAUACGGCCCAGACUCCUACGGGAGGCAGCAGUGAGGAAUCUUCCACAAUGGACGAAAGUCUGAUGGAGCAAUGCCGCGUGCAGGAUGACGGCCUUCGGGUUGUAAACUGCUUUUAUAUGGGAAGAUUAUGACGGUACCAUAUGAAUAAGGACCGGCUAACUACGUG
rnacentral:rRNA from 1 species